rnacentral:snRNA from 1 species
UAGCUGGUUCCCUCCGAAGU